GUAUGCGGCUGUGGCUGAAAGAGUUGCCUUUUCACAUUGCAUUCUUUAUUUUUGAUUACAAAUAAGAGGCACAUAGACAGCUCUGUCCGCACGCUGCAGCGUAUUGUUGUUUUACUGAGGAUAUCAGGUGGCUUAGGGCAAGGUCGAGCUCUUGCUGUGUGCAUGUGUAUUUGUGUGUCCGUGUGUGUGCCCGUGUCUGUGUGUGUGUGUGUGUGUGUGUGUGUGUGUGUGUGUGUGUGUGU
rnacentral:lncRNA from 1 species